CCUACGGGCGGCAGCAGUGGGGAAUAUUGGACAAUGGGCGAAAGCCUGAUCCAGCCAUGCCGCGUGUGUGAAGAAGGCCUUCGGGUUGUAAAGCACUUUCAGUGGGGAAGAAAGCCUUGGGGCUAAUACCCUCGAGGAAGGACAUCACCCACAGAAGAAGCACCGGCUAACUCCGUGCCAGCAGCCGCGGUAAUACGGAGGGUGCGAGCGUUAAUCGGAAUUACUGGGCGUAAAGCGCGCGUAGGCGGUCUGAUAAGCCGGUUGUGAAAGCCCCGGGCUCAACCUGGGAACGGCAUCCGGAACUGUCAGGCUAGAGUGCAGGAGAGGAAGGUAGAAUUCCCGGUGUAGCAGUGAAUUGCGUAGAGAUCGGGAGGAAUACCAGUGGCGAAGGCGGCCUUCUGGACUGACACUGACGCUGAGGUGCGAAAGCGUGGGUAGCAAACAGGAUUAGAUACCCCAGUAGUC
rnacentral:rRNA from 1 species